rnacentral:rRNA from 1 species
CUCUGGCGGCGUGCUUAACACAUGCAAGUCGAACGGAAAGGCCCUGCUUUUGUGGGGUGCUCGAGUGGCGAACGGGUGAGUAACACGUGAGUAACCUGCCCUUGACUUUGGGAUAACUUCAGGAAACUGGGGCUAAUACCGGAUAGGAGCUCCUGCUGCAUGGUGGGGGUUGGAAAGUUUCGGCGGUUGGGGAUGGACUCGCGGCUUAUCAGCUUGUUGGUGGGGUAGUGGCUUACCAAGGCUUUGACGGGUAGCCGGCCUGAGAGGGUGACCGGCCACAUUGGGACUGAGAUACGGCCCAGACUCCUACGGGAGGCAGCAGUGGGGAAUAUUGCACAAUGGGCGGAAGCCUGAUGCAGCAACGCCGCGUGCGGGAUGACGGCCUUCGGGUUGUAAACCGCUUUCGCCUGUGACGAAGCGUGAGUGACGGUAAUGGGUAAAGAAGCACCGGCUAACUACGUGCCAGCAGCCGCGGUGAUACGUAGGGUGCGAGCGUUGUCCGGAUUUAUUGGGCGUAAAGGGCUCGUAGGUGGUUGAUCGCGUCGGAAGUGUAAUCUUGGGGCUUAACCCUGAGCGUGCUUUCGAUACGGGUUGACUUGAGGAAGGUAGGGGAGAAUGGAAUUCCUGGUGGAGCGGUGGAAUGCGCAGAUAUCAGGAGGAACACCAGUGGCGAAGGCGGUUCUCUGGGCCUUUCCUGACGCUGAGGAGCGAAAGCGUGGGGAGCGAACAGGCUUAGAUACCCUGGUAGUCCACGCUGUAAACGGUGGGUACUAGGUGUGGGGUCCAUUCCACGGGUUCCGUGCCGUAGCUAACGCUUUAAGUACCCCGCCUGGGGAGUACGGCCGCAAGGCUAAAACUCAAAGGAAUUGACGGGGCCCCGCACAAGCGGCGGAGCAUGCGGAUUAAUUCGAUGCAACGCGUAGAACCUUACCUGGGUUUGACAUGGAUCGGGAGUGCUCAGAGAUGGGUGUGCCUCUUUUGGGGUCGGUUCACAGGUGGUGCAUGGCUGUCGUCAGCUCGUGUCGUGAGAUGUUGGGUUAAGUCCCGCAACGAGCGCAACCCUUGUUCACUGUUGCCAGCACGUUAUGGUGGGGACUCAGUGGAGACCGCCGGGGUCAACUCGGAGGAAGGUGGGGAUGACGUCAAGUCAUCAUGCCCCUUAUGUCCAGGGCUUCACGCAUGCUACAAUGGCUGGUACAGAGAGUGGCGAGCCUGUGAGGGUGAGCGAAUCUCGGAAAGCCGGUCUCAGUUCGGAUUGGGGUCUGCAACUCGACCUCAUGAAGUCGGAGUCGCUAGUAAUCGCAGAUCAGCAACGCUGCGGUGAAUACGUUCCCGGGGCUUGUACAUACCGCCCGUCAAGUCAUGAAAGUUGGUAACACCCGAAGCCGGUGGCCUAACCGUUGUGGGGGAGCCGUCGAAGGUGGGACUGGUGAUUA